rnacentral:rRNA from 1 species
UAGGGAAUCUUCCACAAUGGACGAAAGUCUGAUGGAGCAACGCCGCGUGUGUGAUGAAGGGUUUCGGCUCGUAAAACACUGUUGUAAGAGAAGAAUGACAUUGAGAGUAACUGCUCAAUGUGUGACGGUAUCUUACCAGAAAGGAACGGCUAAAUACGUGCCAU